rnacentral:misc_RNA from 1 species
GAGGCAGCAUUUAAACCAGAAGUCAAUGGGGAACUUGAUACUCAAAACUUCAUGAAAUUUGAUGAGGUGGAACCUCCACCAACAAGAAGAGGAUCAGGACCUUCGAGGAAGCAGCUGUUAUCUCCUCAAGAUCUAAGUUUUGUUGGUUACACGUACAAGAACUUUGAUGCUAUCAAAGGGUCACGGCAUUCUUUUGAACUUAAGAGGACCUCAUCACGGUCUUCAACCGACUCUUUUCAGAGUGAUUCUGCAGUGGACUAUUCUAAGGACUUGCCUGAUGACUCAGAAAUUCAGAAGCUUACUUCGACGGGACAUUCAAUGUCGCCAUGAAGACCCACUGAAUUCUCAGUGUGUAAACUGUAUGGCAUAAUCAUAACAGACGGAGUGCUCCUCUUGCAAAGAAUUUCAUAGGUGUACAUUGCUAUUGAGGAACUUCUGUGAAGCAUGUAGCUAGCCAAGUAACAACUUGUUGUGGUUCAGUCUAAAGGUACUGUAUCCAUACCGAGUUUCCCUGACUGCGCAGGUUGGCAGAACAAAUAUGCCUACCCUUGUGGCAGUGUAGGCCCUUUCUCUUUCCCCUUUUCCCUUUUUCUCCCUUUUUGGAUAGUGUGGGAAGCUGGAAAAUCCCCGGC